rnacentral:rRNA from 1 species
AGUGAACGCUGGCGGCAGGCCUAACACAUGCAAGUCGAGCGGCAGCGGGUUCCCGCGAGGGGAUGCCGGCGAGCGGCGGACGGGUGAGGAACACAUCGGAAUCUGCCUGGUUGUGGGGGAUAACGUAGGGAAACUUACGCUAAUACCGCAUGAGACCCUGAGUCGACGGACUGGGGGUNAAAGUGAGGGACCUUCGGGCCUCACGCGACCAGAUGAGCCGAUGUCGGAUUAGCUAGUUGGCGGGGUAACGGCCCGCCAAGGCGACGAUCCGUAGCUGGUCUGAGAGGAUGAUCAGCCACACUGGGACUGAGACACGGCCCAGACUCCUACGGGAGGCAAGCAGUGGGGAAUCUUGGACAAUGGGCGCAAGCCUGAUCCAGCCAUGCCGUG